GCCUUCUUGGCUCAGUUGGCAGAGCGUCUGCCUAGUAUUACGUUGUAAGCAGAAGGUCAGCGGUUCGAUUCCGCUAGAAGGCA